AACUUUCAGCAACGGAUCUCUUGGCUCUCGCAUCGAUGAAGAACGCAGCGAAUUGCGAUAUGUAAUGUGAAUUGCAGAUUUUCAGUGAAUCAUCG
rnacentral:rRNA from 1 species